AGGAUUAACGCUGGCGGCGUGCCUAACACAUGCAAGUCGAACGAGGUAGCAAUACCUAGUGGCAGACGGGUGAGUAACGCGUGGUCAACCUACCGUUGAGUGGGGGAUAACUAGCCGAAAGGUUAGCUAAUACCGCAUACGAGUCUCGGGGGCAUCCCUGGGCCUUAAAAGGAGCAAUCCGCUCGAUGGCGGGACCGCGUCCCAUUAGCUAGAUGGUGGGGUAAUGGCCUACCAUGGCUCCGAUGGGUAGCUGGUUUGAGAGAGCGACCAGCCACACUGGGACUGAGAAACGGCCCAGACUCCUACGGGAGGCAGCAGUGAGGAAUUUUCCGCAAUGGGCGAAAGCCUGACGGAGCGACGCCGCGUGUGGGAAGAAGGCCUUCGGGUCGUAAACCACUGUCGAAGGGGACGAUAAUGACGGUACCCUUGGAGGAAGCCCCGGCUAACUACGUGCCAGCAGCCGC
rnacentral:rRNA from 1 species